rfam:Citrus sinensis cultivar Ridge Pineapple sweet orange scaffold02948_contig_1, whole genome shotgun sequence.
UUUGGGAAAUGAUGCCAAUAUUAUCUGAGGCGCCAGCUCUGCGGAAUGCUGAUUAUUAAUUUAUUUUUUUAAAUUUCUUUGCACGUCAGUCUGAUCCCAAU